rfam:Stereum hirsutum FP-91666 SS1 unplaced genomic scaffold STEHIscaffold_9, whole genome shotgun sequence.
UGCCCCAUGGCUGAGUUGGUCACAGCGUCCGACUGUUAUCUGAGAGUCUCUGAUAGCUUACAAUGCAUCGGAAGGUCGUGAGUUCAAACCUCACUGGGGCAG